UCUUCCCUCUUUCUUCGUGCUUCCCCCCUGCACGUCGACCGGAAAGGCUCCUGCUUGCCGGGGUACUCGAGUGGCGAACGGGUGAGUAACACGUGGGUGAUCUGCCCUGCACUUCGGGAUAAGCCUGGGAAACUGGGUCUAAUACCGGAUAGGACCACAUUUUGGAUGGUGUGGUGGAAAGUUUUUCGGUGUGGGAUGAGCUCGCGGCCUAUCAGCUUGUUGGUGGGGUAAUGGCCUACCAAGGCGUCGACGGGUAGCCGGCCUGAGAGGGUGUACGGCCACAUUGGGACUGAGAUACGGCCCAGACUCCUACGGGAGGCAGCAGUGGGGAAUAUUGCACAAUGGGCGCAAGCCUGAUGCAGCGACGCCGCGUGGGGGAUGACGGCCGUCGGGUUGUAAACUCCUUUCGCUAGGGACGAAGCGCAAGUGACGGUACCUGGAGAAGAAGCACCGGCUAACUACGUG
rnacentral:rRNA from 1 species